rnacentral:rRNA from 1 species
GGGACACGUGGUAUCCUGUCUGAAUAUGGGGGGACCAUCCUCCAAGGCUAAAUACUCCUGACUGACCGAUAGUGAACCAGUACCGUGAGGGAAAGGCGAAAAGAACCCCGGCGAGGGGAGUGAAAAAGAACCUGAAACCGUGUACGUACAAGCAGUGGGAGCACCCUUUGGGGUGUGACUGCGUACCUUUUGUAUAAUGGGUCAGCGACUUAUAUUCUGUAGCAAGGUUAACCGAAUAGGGGAGCCGGAGGGAAACCGAGUCUUAAUUGGGCGUUAAGUUGCAGGGUAUAGACCCGAAACCCGGUGAUCUAGCCAUGGGCAGGUUGAAGGUUGGGUAACACUAACUGGAGGACCGAACCGACUAAUGUUGAAAAAUUAGCGGAUGACCUGUGGCUGGGGGUGAAAGGCCAAUCAAACCGGGAGAUAGCUGGUUCUCCCCGAAAGCUAUUUAGGUAGCGCCUCGUGAAUUCAUCUCCGGGGGUAGAGCACUGUUUCGGCUAGGGGGCCAUCCCGGCUUACCAACCCGAUGCAAACUGCGAAUACCGGAGAAUGUUAUCACGGGAGACACACGGCGGGUGCUAACGUCCGUCGUGAAGAGGGAAACAACCCAGACCGCCAGCUAAGGUCCCAAAGUCAUGGUUAAGUGGGAAACGAUGUGGGAAGGCCCAGACAGCCAGGAUGUUGGCUUAGAAGCAGCCAUCAUUUAAAGAAAGCGUAAUAGCUCACUGGUCGAGUCGGCCUGCGCGGAAGAUGUAACGGGGCUAAACCAUGCACCGAAGCUGCGGCAGCGACACUGUGUGUUGUUGGGUAGGGGAGCGUUCUGUAAGCC